CCCCUUCGCCCCGGCUGGGACGAGAGUUGAAUAUUCCGUUGGUCUUUAACAUGAACUUAGGUGCGGAUGGGGGGGGGGGGGGGGGGUGCAUGUUAAGUCAACACUUGUGCCUCUGUGCACAAUGUUUGCACCGAAAAAGUUAACAUGACAUUCCCAGCAAUAAUAAAUAAAUAAAUAAAUAAACAAACAAAGUGAGACGUUCCACUACUGUAAUAAAUUAGCGCCAUCACCCCCACCCCCACACACCCCCACUUUGGUUUGUCUGAUGGUGACCUAGCUGGGGGCAGACAUUUUGACCUUUAUUAUUGAUCAUUGACCCAUUCAUACCAGCGUUUGAUUAUUGAUUAUUGAAAAUUGCUAAAAGAAACAAUGACCACCAGAAAAAAGAGUGCCAUUUGGAAUUUCUUUAAUCCAUCUGGAGACACCUCAGCGGUAUGUACAACCUGUAAGGCAACCAUCUCAUUCAAAGGAGGCUCAACAGCAAAUUUACAUCGCCAUCUGAAGAGCAGGCACCCAACCCUGCAGUUAGCGGAGGUGAGGAGGGGGCAGGAGGGGACAGGAGGACAGGGGGCAGGGGCCAGGGGACAGCAGGCACUACCUCCAACCACAUCUGCAAGGUCAAGGGCUGCCGAACAAGUGCCGAUGACACAGUUUUUACAUCGACCAAUGAAUGCCGUGUGGCAAAAGGAGGUGGAUGAGAAGUUGAUCAAAAUGAUCACUACUGACCUUCAGCCAUUCUCUGCUGUGGAGGACAAGGGGUUCAGGGAAUACACGAAGGCCUUAAAUCCUUCCUACACACUGCCUGGCAGGAAGGUGCUCUCGCAGACCAUGGUACCGGAUCGGUUCUUUUAGUGCCAGGCCAAGGUGAAAGGGAAAGUGGCACAGGCUGCAUCAGUAUGCCUAACCACCGACUGCUGGACAUCCCGGACGACCACCAGCUUUUUGUCAGUGACCUGCCACUACAUUGAUGAGGAUUUUGAGAUGGUCAGCUAUCUGCUGGACUGUUUUGAAUUCUCAGACCGGCACACAGCAGACAACCUGGCAGAGCAGCUAAGCAAGAUUGCGGAGGAGUGGGGCGUCUCUGAUAAGGUGGUGGCCUGUGUCACUGACAACGCUGCCAACGUUGUGGCAGCUGUAAGGAAGCUAGACUGGAGGCAGUUGUCCUGUUUUGCCCACACACUCAAUUUAAUUGUUAGAGGGUCGCUGGGUGUGAUGGAGGGCACUGUGGAGAAGGUGAAAGCAAUAGUGCAGCACUUCCAUAAAAGUACCGUGGCAGCAGAGAGGCUGAGAGGGACACUCAGAUAAAUGCAGCUCCCAGACCUUAAGUUAAUUAUGGACUGUCCGACAAGGUGGAACUCCACCUUGUACAUGCUGAAGCGGUUCAGCCACAUGAAGGAUGCCACUGUGAGCACCAUGGCCCUCACAAAUCCUAGCAUGGCAACCCUUUCCCCCAACGAGUGGGAAGCCAUCACGGAAGCGUGUGAGGUGUUGCAGCCUUUUGAGGAGGUCACCACAGAGAUCAGCGCAGAGAGAUACGUGACCGCCUCAAAAAUUAUUCUGUUGGCAAGGGGGCUUCAGCGCAUGACGGCCAACAACUUGAGGGCAACUUGACCUCCUGACAGCCCUCAACGGCCUCAUGGCCAAAAGGUUUCACAGGAUGGAAUUUAACACCCUUCUGUCAGAGGCAUCCUACCUGGACCCCCGUUUCAAGAAGAAGGCCUUCUCUGACGACCACGCUGCCUCUGAGGUCACGCAGAGGCUGACUCAAGCAGCUGCUCAAGUGCCAAUCAGUGGAAGCCAGAUUGAAGGUGUGGCAGAAGAUGGAGCGUCAUCAGCCUCAGCCAGUGAGAGCAUGAUCUGGAAGGACUUUGAUGACCAGGAGUCGGGCCUCGUCUCUCAGGGAAGUAGCUCUGCUGAGGCGAUCCUUGAGGUGCGGGCUUACUCUCAGGAGUCCCUCCUACCAAGGUCUCAAAAUCCACUUGCCUGGUGGAAGAGUCGCAGCACCAUCUAUCCCCGGCUGACUGCUUUGAUGAGGCAGAGGCUGUGUGUCACCGGCUCAUCAGUUCCGUCAGAGAGCGUGUUCAGUAAGAUGGGAGGGAUAAUUACUGACCGCAGGAGCAGGCUCAAGUCCUCCAAAGUUCGGCAGCUGGUCUUCCUCAACGCCAACUGGAAUGAAUGAAUGAAUGAAUGAGAGAGAAAGAGAGAGAGAGAGAGAGAGAGAGUUCAUUGAGCUGUUUGUUCUUUGUCAUUUGUAUUGACAGUUACAGUUGAUGUUCUAUUCCUUUUCUAUUCCUAUUAUCUAUAAAUUACAAUCUUUCUGACCCACAACUCAGGAGUAUACAUCGCCCUUUUUUGCUGACAUUACACACCCACCAUAUUAAAUGAUUUACUUAAACUAUCUUUACAUUCAACACACUUAUAACUAGUUUUGCCAUGGUUUAACCAUGCAUGGUGUCUACAGGUUUGACCAAGUGAAAAUUAAGACAUUAUUAUUAGACAUUUUAGAGCAACACGCAAGAUUAUACACGUGAAAAUAAAGCUGAAAAAUCUUUGACCAGAAACGCACGUGAGGCACGUGCUAAAGCCCAAAAUCCAUGCAAGUGAUACUCUCUCUGUAUGUGGCUACCAAACUGCUUUCUUUUUUUAUCCCCCAAAGUUCAAAGAGACAUGAAUGUCAAUGAUUCCUCUGCAAAAUUUUAAAACAUUUGGGUUUGAAAUUUUAAGACAUUUCAAGACUUUUCAAGGCCUUAUUUGACAAAAAAAAUAACACAAGACUUUAAGGACUCGCGGCCACCCUGGCAUGGCAUGUCAUAGUAACUCUGGAUUAAUUAAAUGGCGCUCAAUUGCCCAAAAAACGCCAUGAAAGCCAUGGUUAUUUAGCCAUAGUAAAAGCAUGGUAGAAUUUCGUAGGGUUAGAUGCACCAUGCUACCGUCAUCUUCUCAGCCGAGGGGAUUUAUUUGGCCGCGAAACAAACUUCGACUCCGCCCGAACAGGUGGCAUGCUAACAGCCUUAAUCACAUUAACAAAGCAGAUGGUUAUGGUGGCAAACAUUAAUGGUAUGGUGGUACACGGUCACGUCCGUGUGAUAUUCGACAAGGGGGUAAACCGACAUGGUUGGUCAGGUGGUUCUACAAAAUAUUUUUGCACGAACUAAAAGUACACGACGUAGUACAUCAGAGCAUAACUCCGAAAACCAAAGGAGCUACAUGUCUGGUCUUACCUUAGCAGUCGAGCAAAAACAGAUAUUCCUGCGUUUCAAUUUUAAAUUGGUGGCCUCAGACUGAGAGCUCUAAGCAACUUGGCAAUAAUAAACCAUAUAAAACAACAAUGUAUUUCAUACAGCCAUCAUGAUUUUACCUGUCGAGUUAAGAUGAUGAAUUGUCUCUUCUCAACUUUGUCGGCAUCCCCCUCCCUCGUCCGCGUCAAGGAGAGAAAAGGAGGUCUCUUGCUCGAACAGCUGGAAAAGGUCUCGCUAGACGUGACGUCAAUCGAAUGUUCGUGCAUAACAACCGUUUCCAUGUCCAUGACCAGGACAAACAAUGAAUGAUCAUGAAUGCAGCAGAGAGACAUCGCAGGCUACUGUUCGCUGAAUACGAUGACUUGUAAAAUUGUUUAUUCUCUGAAAUGAGUGUUGCUGUUAAAUAAGCAAUUUUUUUUUUUUUUGCUUAAUGGGUUUGAGAGAACAACUGCAUAGCCGGCAGACCAUGGCUCUACUAAAAUAAAUAUAAUAAAUAUAAAAACAGCUUUAUUCUCAUCUACAUUUAAUUAACUUUCAGAGCUUUGUUUAUGUAGUCUUUUUCAGAUAAUGCUAGGAUAAUGUUUUUCUUCCAUCUUUUUCUCAAGCACAUUGUAAUGUAUGAAAAUCUAUUGUGGAUGGCACCUCUGCCACCUCUCGUUCACUCAAGAUGAACUAAACUUCGGACGACAGCCAUUGUUGUGCCGCUUUGGUGUGAUGUCAUCAAAAUGAACGAGUGAACGAACUGAACGAACGAAUUUCUUUGCUGAACUGACCGACAUGAACGAACUGGCGGAAAUGAAUCGCCAUGUCCCACCAAUAAUUCCGCUGGCAGUUCAAAAUCCGGUCGUGAAAACUCCGUCCGGAAAGCCAUAAGGGUCACAAAUCUGUAGAUCGUUUAUUUUAGACAUAUAUCUAGUUAUCUGUUCAUUAGAAAAAUGAGCCGUGUAGUCCGUCGGUUGAAAUUGAUCCAUUCUGUACACGAGUGCAGCAGUAUUCAGCGGUGUUUUUGACCGACAAGAUGGGGGUUGUCUACUUUCUGGUCACGUGACUGCAAGAUCUCUAUUGGCCACCAGCAAAGAUGAACUCGACAAGGGCAGCCAUAAAGCAAAAGGACCCUUGCACUGACUGGGUGACACACGAAGUGACCGUGAAGAGAAAAGCUGGUAAUGUGCCCAUGUGUAUUUUGUAUUAUAUUAUCUUACAAGAUGAGUUCAUUGUAGAUUUUGUUUAAAGGUGCACUAUGAGUUCCUGCAUUAUCACUUCCGUUGACAUUCCAUGUAAAUACCUAAAAUGCUAUACGAAACGGUACUCUCAAAUUCCAGUAACUAAAUCAACUUUGCUCACUGCCCCCACCAAUAUGUGCACACUCACUAACCCCUACCCCCUCCCCUGACCAUGUUGUUGAUUGGCUGGAAGUGGUUUAUGUUUUGGUGCACAGCCUGUGCCCAGUGUUUGUUUGAUGUGUACAACCCCCUUGUUGCCUCCCAAGACAAUUUGUUUGUUUGUUUGUUUGUUUGUUUGUUUGUUUGUUUGUUUUCUUCUUCAAAUUUUUCAUGGGGCUGGCAGAAAACUGAUCAAGGGGAGUUGCUCUACGGUUCGAUACAAAAAAAUGAAAUUGUGUUAAAAACCAUGCAAGGACUCAUUUUCCACCUUUAAUUUUGCUCUGAAUGAAACUAAUUGCCACUGAUUUGUCUGUCUCCCACAGCAACAUAUGAAAUUGCUCGCUCAAAGUUAGUGGAAUAUGAACAGAAUACAGAUGUAUCAACCAAGCCUGAGUCUACAGAGAAUAUGGGCAGGGGGAAGCGCAAAAGGAGGUUUACCAUCCAAACGAGAUCACAUGGGAUUACCUUUCACAGGCAAGUGGUCAUGUCCAGCGAGGCUGAAGAUGAGGAUGACGAUGACAUCAACAAUCAGGCAUCUCCAUCACCUCCGAGGCCUCCAUCUACUCUGAGAUGUAUGCAGACCCCUCCCCCCCUCCCCCCACGGGUCUCUGCAGACCCCUCCACCCCCCCACGGGUCUCUGCAGACCCCUCCACCCACCCACGGGUCUCUGCAGACCCCUCCACCCCCUCCACCCACCCACAGGUCUAUACAGACCCCUGCACCCCCUGCUCCUACCCACGGGUCUUCAACCCCAAGACGAGACAUUUGGGAUAGCAUGUUUGUUCGCAUUUUGACCCUCCUUGAGGAGGUGAAAGACACACAGAGGAACCAUGGGAGGAUUCUCCAGGCACUUCUCCAAGAUCGACACAACAUUGCCAACCCCGUUUGUUCUACUCCAGAGGGUUUCCCCCUCAAGACGGUUAAUGAAGUCGACUGCAUGGAAGAAAAACUGGCAAACCCUAGCCUGGGAAAUCCCAUGCUGCUUUGCACAAUCGUUCCAAUCUGAAAAGACAGCAUGGAAACUAUGGUCUAAAGGCUCGCCUGAGUUAGGGAGCCAAUCAGAGAGUGGGGAGGGGUGGAAAGACGGUGACGCGUACUACUCGACAAACGGAAGCUUGUAGUUUAUUUGGGACUGUUUACAGAUCACAUUUAACAUGGCGGCGAGCGAUACGAACCAAACUUUCGAUCAAGCUUUAGACACUGUUCUGAAUAGUUUAGAGCUAAAGUUUGUUUUAAAAAAAGAACAGCAUUUGGCAUUUCAGUCUUUCUUUGCCUCUUCGUCUUCUUCAUCGCUCUAACUACGUCACCGGGUACAACUGCCAUGAUUGGCCAUGGGCUAUGUAUACGCCAAAUGAUAGACAUUCGCAACGUCCAAUAAACGGCCGUUGACAAUCGUAAACCACACCUCCCCUACGAGAAAUUCAAUAGGCGGAUUCCAGACCAUAUUUCACUUGUGAUAUGGUCUGGUGUUAACCAGACUAGGCAAACCCCACCUUCAUGUCAGAACUGGUAUGUAUGUUAAAUGUAUUACAGUAUGUGGACUGAAUCAACCUGUUGCCCUGUUGUUUCACGUUGCCAAGUGCUGUUGAAAGUUAUGAGAACAGUGUGAAAGAGUGGUCUGCACACUGGGUAUACGCUCCAAAAACACUUUAUUAUUUAACUAUAAGGCAACAUUUCGAUCCACUAGUGGGAUCUUCCCACUCUUUCACACUGUAUCUACUACUGUAUGUGCGCACCCUAACUUUCAAAUAUCCAUGCAUCUGGCAGUUCUUUCAUGUUGAGAGGUUUACUCCAGUGAGGAAUAUAGAUUGACCUGCCUUGUACUGCCUUUGUUCCCUCUCAGAUUGCAGCUGUGGCGGACAUUGGAGGGGGCACUGUUGACGGGGCCACGAGAAGGAUGAUGGCGUUCCUCAUUGACCACAACCUAUCCAGACAGUACAACUUCGUGGGGAGAAACGGCAAGAGAGGAUUCAAGCCCCUCAAGCUGUUUGAAGUAAUUUAUGGAGCCUUGAAGAAGAAUGCAAUGACCAGUCAGAUCAAAGGACACAGAGAAGGCGGUCUUGAAGUGGCUGAUUGGUGCUAGGGACCGGGGGGGCAAUCGACAGGCCCGUCAGGCCAGAGAGGCAGCCCCUCAGGAAAUUUAAAUUGUGUUUUUUUUUUCCCCUCAGUGAUUUCUGUAAUAAAAACUUAGUUUUUAUUUUUUGUAAAUAGCAAUAAAAAGUAAUUGUAUUACUA